GUGAAUCAUCGAAUCUUUGAACGCACAUUGCGCCCCUUGGUAUUCCGAGGGGCAUGCCUAUUCGAGCGUCAUUAUCACCCCUCAAGCUUUAGCUUGGUGUUGAGGCCUGCUGUCAAGGCAGCCUCUAAAAUCAGUGGCAGUGCUGUCAGGCUCUAAGCGUAGUAAAAUUCAUCGCUAUAGACACCGGAUGGACACUCGCCAGAACCCCCCAUCUUUUAAUGAUUGACCUCGGAUUAGGUAGGGAUACCCGCUGAACUUAAGCAUAUCAAUAAGCGGAGGA
rnacentral:misc_RNA from 1 species